rnacentral:rRNA from 1 species
AGGGAAUUUUCCACAAUGGACGAAAGUCUGAUGGAGCAAUGCCGCGUGAAUGAUGAAGGCCCUUUGGGCUGUAAAAUUCUUUUAUUAGGGAAAAAAUGACAUAUUAGGAAAUGAUUAUGUUUUGAUUGUACCUUUUUGAAUAAGCAACGGCUAACUAUGUGCCAGCAGCCGCGGUAAUACAUAGGUUGCAAGUGUUAUCCGGAUUUAUUGGGCGUAAAGCAAGUGCAGGCUGAUUAUCAAGUCUAGUGUUAAAGACAAUUGCUUAACAAUUGGUUGCAUUAGAAACUGUUAAUCUAGAAUACAGUAGGGAGUUCUGGAAUUCAAUGUGGAGCGGUGGAAUGCGUAGAUAUAUUGAAGAACACCAGUGGUGAAGACGAGAACUUGGGCUGUAAUUGACGCUUAGGCUUGAAAGCAUGGGGAGCAAAUAGGAUUAGAUACCCUAGUAGUCCAUGCUGUAAACGAUGGAUAUUAAAUAUUGGGGCUUAGAGCCCCAGUGUUGGAGCUAACGCAUUAAAUAUCCCGCCUGGGUAGUACAUCGCAAGA